AGAGCGAACGCUGGCGGCAGGCUUAACACAUGCAAGUCGAGCGGGCGUAGCAAUACGUCAGCGGCAGACGGGUGAGUAACGCGUGGGAACAUACCUUUUGGUUCGGAACAACACAGGGAAACUUGUGCUAAUACCGGAUAAGCCCUUACGGGGAAAGAUUUAUCGCCGAAAGAUUGGCCCGCGUCUGAUUAGCUAGUUGGUGAGGUAACGGCUCACCAAGGCGACGAUCAGUAGCUGGUCUGAGAGGAUGAUCAGCCACAUUGGGACUGAGACACGGCCCAGACUCCUACGGGAGGCAGCAGUGGGAAUCUGCGCAAUGCGCGAAAGCGUGACGCAGCAACGCCGCGUGGGGGAAGAAGGCUUUCGGGUUGUAAACCCCUUUCAGUUGGGACGAAGCUUCUCCGGUGAAUAGCCGGAUGGAGUGACGGUACCUUCACAAGAAGCACCGGCUAACUACGCGCCAGCAGCCGCGGUAA
rnacentral:rRNA from 1 species